rnacentral:rRNA from 1 species
GACGAACGCUGGCGGCGUGCUUAACACAUGCAAGUCGAACGGAAAGGCCCUGCUUUUGUGGGGUGCUCGAGUGGCGAACGGGUGAGUAACACGUGAGUAACCUGCCCUUGACUUUGGGAUAACUUCAGGAAACUGGGGCUAAUACCGGAUAGGAGCUCCUGCUGCAUGGUGGGGGGUGGAAAGUUUCGGCGGUUGGGGAUGGACUCGCGGCUUAUCAGCUUGUUGGUGGGGUAGUGGCUUACCAAGGCUUUGACGGGUAGCCGGCCUGAGAGGGUGACCGGCCACAUUGGGACUGAGAUACGGCCCAGACUCCUACGGGAGGCAGCAGUGGGGAAUAUUGCACAAUGGGCGGAAGCCUGAUGCAGCAACGCCGCGUGCGGGAUGUCGGCCUUCGGGUUGUAAACCGCUUUCGCCUGUGACGAAGCGUGAGUGACGGUAAUGGGUAAAGAAGCACCGGCUAACUACGUG